UGCUCUACAAGUAUAGAAAGAAGCCUUCCUCUUCCCACCCUCCCCCAGACACCACAUAAUGGAAAAAGCAAGAAUUUUCUGCAUAAGCAAGGCCUUAAAAAAAAAAAAAGCCAGCCUCUGAUGGGACUUCUUUCCUGCCAGAAAUCCCACUGGUCCACGGUCGCAAUUUUUACAAAAGGCCACGAUGAAAGAAAUGGUCACUGGAGAAAAUGUGUAAACCAACUGCAAACAAGUUUAUCCGUUGCCACCUUUCUUUUCCUUUAGUGACAGUUCAAUUCGUUAACCUGAAGAAGCUACUGUACCAUCAAGACUAGCUCCCAGCCCAGGGCUUCAGCAUAAAGCAACUGCUCAGUUAAUUUUGGUGGAUCACGGGCAGAAACAAGUUACCUUUGGGAUGCAGAUUCUGAAUAGUCUGCCAUGAAAUGAUUAAAUGAAUGAGAGUGAUGAGGGGCUACUUAAUUGGACUAUGUAAAAUGGCUCCUUAAGCUUCGUGGACAAUUGAGUAAUUUCAGUUUCCUCUCUUCACUCUUGUUUACUUCCUGCUCUUCUAGAAUCAAGUGUUAGGUAUUCUGUUCUCUUACAAUGAGAAGAUUAAACAGCUGUAGUUUAAAUUAAAGCAUUAAUUUGGA